GGACUGGUAGCUCAGUUGGAAGAGCACCACUAUACUAUGCUGGAGGCCACAGGUUCAAGCCCUGUCUAAUCCA
rfam:Paxillus rubicundulus Ve08.2h10 scaffold_2338_c1, whole genome shotgun sequence.